rnacentral:rRNA from 1 species
GGAUCAUUAUCGAGUUCUAAACUCCAAACCCUAUGUGAACUUACCACUGUUGCCUCGGCGGGGCAGCCUACCCUGUAGCUACCCUGUAGCUACCCUGUAGUCCCCUUCCCCGCCGGCGGACCAUCAAACUCUGUUUUAUCGUGGCAUUCUGAAUUGCAAGCAAAUAAAUUAAAACUUUCAACAACGGAUCUCUUGGUUCUGGCAUCGAUGAAGAACGCAGCGAAAUGCGAUAAGUAAUGUGAAUUGCAGAAUUCAGUGAAUCAUCGAAUCUUUGAACGCACAUUGCGCCCAUUAGUAUUCUAGUGGGCAUGCCUGUUCGAGCGUCAUUUCAACCCUCAAGCCCUGCUGCUUGGUGUUGGGAGCCUGCCUAAUCGCAGCUCCUCAAAGCUAGUUGGCAGAGUUGUGGUAGACUCUAAGCGUAGUAAUUCCUUUCUCGCUUCUGAAGCUGCCGCGGCGAUCGCCACAAACCUUUUAUUUUCUAGUGGUUGACCUCGGAUCAGGUAGGAAUACCCGCUGAACUUAAGCAUAUCAAUAAGCGGAGGAAAAGAAACCAACAGGGAUUGCCCUAGUAACGGCGAGUGAAGCGGCAACAGCUCAAAUUUGAAAUCUGGCUCUCGGGCCCGAAUUGUAAUUUGUAGAGGAUGCAUUUGGCGCGGUGCCUUCUGAGUUCCCUGGAACGGGACGCCUUAGAGGGUGAGAGCCCCGUACAGUUGGACGCCUAGCCUUUGUAAUGCUCCUUCGAC